AAUGAAACAAAUUUUGCACAGCAUGAAAUUAUUCCUGCCACGUACGGCGUUCGGUGGCAGAUUUUUGAGUUUGGACCACAAACAAGGCUCGGCAGCACGGAGAGGAGGGGGCGGGGAGGAAAACACCACCAAAGAGCCAAGGACUCCAGGCCAGCACUGACUCAGGACAGUCUCCGCUGUUGGCUGUGCUAGGACCCAUCUUUCAUAAAGAGUUUGGAGAGGAACAGACCCGAGACCGGCUUCAGUCUUGGCCCAUCAUUUCAGUACAAAGCACUUUUUGCAUAGUCCUUGCAGUUGCUCGGCCUUGGUUGUGCUGGCUUUUGCACCUCUUUGAACUUAAAUACAAAAUGAGCAUUGGUUUUGGAGAGGGAAUUUGGAUGCUUAGUUUUUCUUGUGUUACUUCUUUCGCAGUGGAGCCUGCUGAGAUAGAGCUUCCAGCCUUUGGGCACUGUGUGGCCCUUGCAGAGGAGAGCUUGGGCCGCAAAGAUUGGUGAUCAAGGGAGAUAGAUAGGAUGGAUGGAAGGAACCCAUUGGACUGUGGUUGGUUGCUCAAGGAGGAAAGUGGCUGCGGAGCCAUGGAGCGUCAAGCGUGAGAUCUGUGAUGUUCUGCCUUCAGCUAUCUCUACUUCCUCAUCACAGAGCAGGCAGCUUUUGGUUUGUGUUUUUUCUUUUUCUUUUCCUUUUUUUUUUUCCUAUGCUAUAUUUGCACACAAUUAUAGCAAGAUGCAAAUUAAGACCUCUCCAACCCCAUUUGUCAUUCUUUCUACCUGAUGAACUUCAUGUCAUUAAAAUGAGGACGAGGUGCCCAGAACCUGCCAAUUUCCACUGCAGAUCAGUUGUCAGAAAGCAAAAGCUUCUGUUCCUUUUCUUCAGACGGAUAAGUGAAAUGUGCAAGAGACCAUAAAUGAAGCUGAAAUAAUGGAAGAUCACUCAAAAAUUCUCCACGCUUUGGAAAGACUUAUACUCACAUUUGUAACGCUGAAGAAAGGAGAAUGCUAUGUAAGAAACAGGUUGCAGAAUAAGGACUUCUAUGUCUUAGUCCUAUCACUGCUCUAAACUUCCUGAAAAAAGAGCCCUUACUGACUGGUCUCUUUCCAGUGAAAUGAAAUUCCUUGUCCCCACUCCAGCAGAGCCACUUGGAGACAGCUUGUGAAAGGCAUUUCUGUCUGUGCAUGCAUGGUGCUGCUGCAUGCCUGGUUUGUGAACAGAAAGGGAAAUGCUUGGAUGGGCUUCCUAAAGAAAACAAAUUAAAAAAAAAACACGGUGCAGAGCUCUGAGAGCUGUGACUCUCUGGGCACAGAGAUGGUGUCCUUGCAGGAAGGGUGAUGGGAGCACUCACUGGCCCCACUGGUGCCCCAAAGUGGGAGCACAGAGCCAGUCCUGCUGCUUAGCACAUCUCUGCGAUUUAAGGGUGGUCGAGAGGGAGCUCAGCAGCAGUUUGUUUUUCUCUCUUGACUUUGUCCCAUUGCUGGGGUAUUUUGCUGAUGUGCUGGAGGACGCUAACACCUUGAUGGGCCCCAUCUGUUCCAGCGAGGAGAGUACAGCUGAAUGCUUCGAGGGUGCCCGGGUGCAGCUUGGGAACGCUCCUUGCUUUAUCCAUGGUGAAGCAGUUGGCAUCGGCCAAGCUCCCUGGCACCCGGAGGGGGGAAAUCCUGAGGUAAAUUCGAG
rnacentral:lncRNA from 1 species